rnacentral:rRNA from 1 species
GACGAACGCUGGCGGCGUGCCUAAUACAUGCAAGUAGAACGCUGAAGCGAGGAGCUUGCUCUUCUUGGAUGAGUUGCGAACGGGUGAGUAACGCGUAGGUAACCUGCCUUGUAGCGGGGGAUAACUAUUGGAAACGAUAGCUAAUACCGCAUAACAAUGGAUGACACAUGUCAUUUAUUUGAAAGGGGCAAUUGCUCCACUACAAGAUGGACCUGCGUUGUAUUAGCUAGUAGGUGAGGUAAUGGCCCACCUAGGCGACGAUACAUAGCCGACCUGAGAGGGUGAUCGGCCACACUGGGACUGAGACACGGCCCAGACUCCUACGGGAGGCAGCAGUAGGGAAUCUUCGGCAAUGGGGGCAACCCUGACCGAGCAACGCCGCGUGAGUGAAGAAGGUUUUCGGAUCGUAAAGCUCUGUUGUAAGUCAAGAACGGGUGUGAGAGUGGAAAGUUCACACUGUGACGGUAGCUUACCAGAAAGGGACGGCUAACUACGUG